rnacentral:tRNA from 1 species
AAGAAAUUAGUUAAUUUAUAAUACUUGCUUGUCAUGCUUGAGUAAUCUCUUAGAUAUUUCUUA